rnacentral:rRNA from 1 species
GGGUUAAGUCCCGCAACGAGCGCAACCCUCGCCUCUAGUUGCCAGCAUCGGUUGGGCACUCUAGAGGGACUGCCGGCGACAAGUCGGAGGAAGUGGGGAUGACGUCAAAUCAUCAUGCCCCUUAUGACCUGGGCUACACACGUGCUACAAUGGGCGGUACAAAGGGUCGCGAACCCGCGAGGGGGAGCCAAUCCCAAAAAGCCGCUCUCAGUUCGGAUUGCAGGCUGCAACUCGCCUGCAUGAAGCCGGAAUCGCUAGUAAUCGCGGAUCAGCAUGCCGCGGUGAAUACGUUCCCGGGCCUU